AUGCUCUCACUGCAUCAGGCUCUAUCUUCUCUACUGCUUCUCUCCACUCUAACAGCAAUCAGCUGUGAAGAACUCACACCGGUCCACAAUGAAGAGUUCAGUGCAGAAGGCAGCUCUGUUACUCUGUCCUAUAACUCCUCCAAAGUGAACCUAGGGGAUUAUUUCUUCUGGUAUCGACAGAAUCCAGGACAAGCUCCAGAGUUCCUCCUCUCACACUCUGCUUCAGGACAAGAAGCUGCUCCAACCUCUGGACUGAAGAUCCAAGUGGAGCAGAACCAAAUCCACAUGAUCAUCUCCUCUGCUGCAGUGACAGACUCUGCUGUGUACUACUGUGCUGUGAGG